GCAUGAUGAAUAAUCCAUGACUAAAAUUUCGGGAACUAUUAACUAAGUUUCCAUAGCCUUGACUAAUUUCACAAUUCACCCAAGAAAAUGAGUGGAAUCUUCUAAUCGUUUUGGAACAAACUGCAAAGAGAAAAAAUAGGGUUAAAAGUGGAAAUGCAAAUGAUGGCAAUUUUAAAUCAUGUGACACGAUAGUAUUUUCUGGUGCUUCAAAUGAUCAUUUUUAUCCUUUUUUUCAGUCUUUAAAUGGUUUUGCUCUGGUGGUGAGUGCCGAAGGAAUGAUAUUUUAUGCAUCAUCAACUAUUGUGGACUAUCUGGGCUUUCAUCAGUGUCUUAUCAACCUGUUCUAUCUCCCCUCUGCACACCAGGAAUCCAUCAGCACUCUAGGAUGGAACUCAUGGUAUCCUAAGGACCCUAAAAUGCAGAAGUGGGUGGUGUGCUUCUGUCUGUGUAUAUGGGUGGAUGUGUACAUAGUUUUGUGUGUCUCUUCACCUGUUCAUGCGCAUCAGGGCGUGAGGAGGGAUGUGUGUCACUUUGGCUAUGUUUGCCUGUGUGUGCGUCUCAGAGAGAGUAGGAUGUGAAAGAUGAUAAAGAGAGAUGAGUAGGGUAGAAUCCAGUGAAGAUGACAAUGAU
rnacentral:lncRNA from 1 species